CGAAAUUAAGAUAUAUGUGUUUUCUUGCUUAUUAUCUAAAGGACAGAGUGUCUUUAAGUUUUUUUUUUUGGCUAAAAUCAAAGUUGGGUGUCUUGAAAACUGUUGGGUUUAUAAUUUAUUUGAAGGUUAAGUGUUGGGAAUCUCUAUUUCGGCCAAAAUCUGAUGAAAAUGGAAAUUCGACCUUUGUUUGUGCUAAAUCUUGUAGGAUAAUAUUAUUUGGUGGUUAAAGUUUGUUUUAAUUUGUUGCAUGUCGAGAAAAAGCUUGAAGAACUCAACAUUCUUUAUAUUCUGUGAUUUGAAAUCAGUGUUAGUGAACUGGGUUUCUUACUCAAUUUUUUUUGUUUCAGUUUCAGUUUGUCAUUUUUUUUAACUAAAAGGUGAAUGAUAUUUUCUGUUUCACUAAGUUAUUUCAGCUUGUUCUUCCAUUUAGAGGUCAUUCAGUUGUAUUAAUGAUACGAAGACAGAACUUCUGGCUGCGUUGCCUUUUGCUGCUGCUGUGAGUGUUUCAAUGAUGCAUCCUGGUUGAAAUGUUACUGCAUCUUUAGAAGCUGAAAUAAGUGUCAGGUUGCUGAUUGUUUUUUAGGCAAGCAACUGCUAUAGUGGAGACAUAUUUUGUGCCUUACUUUGCUAUUUGAUGAACUGCUACUACAUUUGAAUGAGUUUUGUAUCUGCACUUUGAGAGUUGUUUACUGUGUUUGAAUGAUUGCAUUUACAACAAACAUAUGUGGUCUUUGAGAUAGAAACUCCUAUACUUGAUUGGUGCCUACUUUUGCCAAACAAGAAUUGAUGCUACAUUGCGAAAAUCCUGAAUAAAAAUUGCUGCACUUUUAGUCAUUUUGCUGUUGUAUGUUGGGGUAAAACUGUUGCUCUUAAUAUAUAGUUGUGCAUUUGAUAGAAGCUGUUACACUUGACAUGAUUGUUGUCUUUUAGAAGGCAAAGAAAUACAACACUUGAGGAUGAUUCUGAAUCAGGUUACUACUACCUUGAGCCCUGCUAUUUUGUUGCUAUGUUCUGAGCCGUCUUUGUGGCAUUUUGAGCCAAUUUGUGGCUUCAUGCUUGGCUGCACCAGGAGAAAAGGUGUUCUUUGCUAUACAUAACUGCUGAUGCUACUGCAUCUUGAGGCAUGACUGAUUCUGGCAUUUGUAACCCCAUCCCAAGGCUGCAGCUAGGCUCUGAUGGCAGCUUUGGUUCAAAGAACACACAUAUGCCAUGCUGACUCUCACGCGUGUGUGUGAUUGAGCUGCAGCUAGGCUCUGUUGGCUUAAGUCAUUGCAUAAAAAUGAACAGGUUACUAUACCUGAUCAAGGAUUCUGUGUUUAAACAGAUACUACACUAGACAAGGUUGUUGUUUUGAUAGCUGCUGAGCCUUUCUGAUCGUUCUGUUGCUGUGUUAUGUUGGCUGAAACUUGAGUAAGUUUGGUGUUGUUCUUGCACUGAAAUGACUGCAUUUUAUUAAAACACAGAAGAUGAUAUACUUUUUUUAAAUGACAUUUAUUGAGACUGCAAAAUCUGCGUAGUUCGUAGAUCUCCUUCCGUCAUUUUGUUAUUAAAAUGUUCAUGUUGUAUUGUGGAGAACUAGUACGAUUACUUGAGAUAAGACGAUUACUCAUGUCAAAAUUCAAUUAUUAUUGACAAAACGGUGAGAAUGAUUUUUGCUGAGUCUAUUUAGGGCGUUUCGGCAGUUCUUGCUCUUUUUGUAUUGUAGCUAUGUGUGCAGGCAUAGAUUGACAUCAUGCCAAGUUUAUGUUUUUGUGCUUUACUGAUUCUACUUACGGAGUAUAAUAUGCCCUUUGCUAUUUGGUGAUUUGUAACACUAUGAAGUUGUAGUUGCAAGACUAUAGCAGCCAACCGAUAAUUAAUGAUUCUAGCACUUUCUUGUUGGACAGGUGGUGUGGAGUAUUAUUUGCUCCCUUGGAAUAUGGAAACUGAAGCUUCUUUUGGUAUUUGUAAUUUCUUAAGGCAAUUCAGCAGUUCCACUGCUGCUAGAAAAGUUGAUUUUACAGACCUUACAUAAGAAUUGUAUCUCAUUUCUUGUUUACUGCAUGAAAGUAUAUAGGAACCUUUUUGUUUGUACAUAUUAAAAGAUAAAAAAAGUAUAUCAUCUACUGUUGUACUAUGAUUUUUCUACUAUAAUCGAUUUCAAAUUGCAGUCAUCCUCAUAAAUGGUAUCCGCAAAUUGCAGUCAUAUUUAUGCAUUGGAGAUUUUGACCUGAUGAAUGUUGAAGGAGUUACAAGAGGGAAUGUGGCAAGCCAUCUCCAGGAAAGAUAUCAAGAAGUAUUACGGGAAAAAUCACAGUCUCACUACUAUUGCUAACAUUGACGAUGUUGAUCCUUUAGUUUCUGAUAAUGAUCGUAGUCCUUCACCCAUGCAUUAAUUUUUUAUGUUAUUUGCUUUUUGUUGGAAAGAACAAAAUUAUGCACUAACAAUACUUGAUGGAUGCGUGGGUUCUUUUGGUAGUUGAUAGCUUGGUGUUGUCAGUGUUUUGGACUUAACGAUUAGGAUUCCGCUAUCUAUUUUGAAUCUUUUUUAUAAAUAUUAUUUUAUGUGAAUGUCAG